rnacentral:rRNA from 1 species
UAGGGAAUAUUGGUCAAUGGACGCAAGUCUGAACCAGCCAUGCCGCGUGAAGGAUGAAGGCCCUAUGGGUCGUAAACUUCUUUUAUUAGGGAAGAAAAAAUGGGAUGCGUCCUAUACUGACGGUACUUAAUGAAUAAGGAUCGGCUAACUUCGUGCCAGCAGCCGCGGUAAGACGAAGGAUCCAAGCGUUGUCCGGAUUUACUGGGUUUAAAGGGUGCGUAGGCGGAAAAUUAAGUCAGUGGUGAAAGCCCGCAGCUCAACUGUGGAACUGCCAUUGAAACUGGUUUUCUUGAAUAUAGCUGAGGCAGAUGGAAUAUAACAUGUAGCGGUGAAAUGCUUAGAUAUGUUAUAGAACACCGAUUGCGAAGGCAGUCUGCUAAACUAUUAUUGACGCUGAGGCACGAAAGCGUGGGGAGCGAACA